rnacentral:rRNA from 1 species
AUUGAACGCUGGCGGCAGGCCUAACACAUGCAAGUCGAGCGGAUGAAGGGAGCUUGCUCCUGGAUUCAGCGGCGGACGGGUGAGUAAUGCCUAGGAAUCUGCCUGGUAGUGGGGGUAACGUCCGGAAACGGGCGCUAAUACCGCCUUCGUCCUGAGGGAGGAAGUGGGGGAUCUUCGGAACUCACGCUAUCAGCUGAGCCUAGGUCGGAUUAGCUAGUUGGUGGGGUAAAGGCCUACCAAGGCGACGAUCCGUAACUGGUCUGAGAGGAUGAUCAGUCACACUGGAACUGAGACACGGUCCAGACUCCUACGGGAGGCAGCAGUGGGGAAUAUUGGACAAUGGGCGAAAGCCUGAUCCAGCCAUGCCGCGUGUGUGAAGAAGGUCUUCGGAUUGUAAAGCACUUUAAGUUGGGAGGAAGGGCAGUAAGUUAAUACCUUGCUGUUUUGACGUUACCAACAGAAUAAGCACCGGCUAACUUCGUG